GGUCAGCUGACACAUCCCUGCCAAUCUCCGGCAGACCCUCCCUCCCAGGCCCUCCCACCUCCUGGACAGCAUCCAUGUUGAAGCUGCCUUCAACAUGGAUGCUGUCCAGGAAGUAGGAGGGUCUGGGAGGGAGGGUCUGCUGGAGAUUGGCAGGGAUGUGUCAGCUG